rnacentral:rRNA from 1 species
AGGACGAACGCUGGCGGCGUGCUUAACACAUGCAAGUGGAGCGACGAACCAGGGCUUGCCCUGGGGCAGGGCCGCGAACGGGUGAGUAACACGUGGGUUACCUGCCUCGAUGACCGGGACAACCCGAGGAAACUCGGGCUAAUACCGGAUGUGCCCGCAAGGGGAAAGGAAGCUUCGGCCUCCGCAUUGAGAUGGGCCCGCGGCCCAUUAGCUUGUUGGUGAGGUAACGGCUCACCAAGGCUUCGAUGGGUAGCUGGUCUGAGAGGACGAUCAGCCACACUGGGACUGAGACACGGCCCAGACUCCUACGGGAGGCAGCAGUGGGGAAUCUUGCGCAAUGCGCGAAAGCGUGACGCAGCAACGCCGCGUGGGGGAAGAAGGCUUUCGGGUUGUAAACCCCUUUCAGUUGGGACGAAGCUUCUCCGGUGAAUAGCCGGAUGGAGUGACGGUACCUUCACAAGAAGCGACCGGCUAACUACGUGCCAGCAGCCGC